GACGAACGCUGGCGGCAUGCCUAAUACAUGCAAGUCGAACGCUGAAGCACUCUGCUUGCAGAGUGCGGAUGAGUGGCGAACGGGUGAGUAACACGUGGGAAAUCUGCCUAGGAGUGGGGGAUAACAUUCGGAAACGGAUGCUAAUACCGCAUAUCUUUUUGAACCGCAUGGUUCUUAAACGAAAGACGGCUUCGGCUGUCGCUCUUAGAUGAUCCCGCGGCGUAUUAGUUAGUUGGUGGGGUAAAGGCCUACCAAGACCAUGAUACGUAGCCGACCUGAGAGGGUGAUCGGCCACACUGGGACUGAGACACGGCCCAGACUCCUACGGGAGGCAGCAGUAGGGAAUCUUCCACAAUGGGUGAAAACCUGAUGGAGCAAUGCCGCGUGAAUGAAGAAGGUCUUCGGAUCGUAAAGUUCUGUUAUUAGUGAAGAACAAAUCGAGGAGUAACUGUCUCGAUUUUGACGGUAACUAACCAGAAAGUCACGGCUAACUACGUGCCAG
rnacentral:rRNA from 1 species